AUAGCAGAUGACACAAUGUAAGUUGAUGAAGAGUAGAUGAUUUUGCUGCACUUGUCUGUGAUUUCUAUCAAGUACAACCUUUGGAACCAUUUAAAAAGGGUUCAAACUGGCCCGAUUCCUAGCAGCUUGUCCGUAUUUGUUUAAAGCCAUUCUAGGUCCAGUAGGAAGAAUAACACCUGAUAUGCUCAUAAGAUACAAGAUUUGUAGAGUUAGUACAAUAAGGAAAAUUUUCUACGGGGCAGGUUUAUUAGCUGGAAUAUUUAUAGUGGCAACAGGCUAUAUUUGGCUAAGGAGAACAAGUGUUAUAUUCCUGGUGUUGGGUGUUGAAUUUUCUGGUUUAAAUGCUAUUGGUUACGCUGUCGAUCAUUUGGACAUUGCCCCACCCUUUGCAUCAGCUCCUGGAUUUAUAACCCAAUACAAGAAGAUUGGAGGAUAGUGUUCUGGAACACACUUGUUAUGUUAACGCCGUAAUUUUCUACACACAGCCUUGUUUAGGAGAACGCCAGCCAUGGGCAUCACCUACUACGCAGGAAGAUAUAGACAAAGAGGAAUAAGACUCCUAGGACUCACACAGAAUGAUACAGUGCUACAGUAGAAACUACGUGGUAAGGUCCAAUGGUUACAUGUUCCAGUAUCACGGUGGCAAGUUGGUUCUAGUCCUUGCUCUUUUGUUCCGUUUAAUUAGUGCGAAGCAAAGAGCGAAGGAAUACUUACCAACGUGUGGCUCAUAGUGAGACGCAAUAAUUCUACUUCAUCAUCCGACCGAGGCUAGGAGUAUGGCAGUUUGAAGGGCGUGAUCAACAAUUAUGACUUUUUAUACGAUCAGUAUCAUCUUCGAAGUAUGUCGACCUUAAUUAAGAAAAAAUAUGAACAUUUGGCUUCUAUGAACAAACGUAAGAUAAGUUUAAACUGAAGAAUAAAUCUAUAAUCAUUCUA